UAAGCGGAGGAAAAGAAACUAACAAGGAUUCCCCUAGUAACUGCGAGUGAAGCGGGAAAAGCUCAAAUUUAAAAUCUGGCGGUCUUUGGCCGUCCGAGUUGUAAUUUAGAGAAGCGUCUUCCGCGCUGGACCGUGCACAAGUCUCCUGGAAUGGAGCGUCAUAGAGGGUGAGAAUCCCGUCUUUGGCACGGAUACCUGGUGCUUCUGUGAUGCGCUCUCGAAGAGUCGAGUUGUUUGGGAAUGCAGCUCAAAAUGGGUGGUGAACUCCAUCUAAAGCUAAAUACUGGCGAGAGACCGAUAGCGAACAAGUACCGUGAGGGAAAGAUGAAAAGCACUUUGGAAAGAGAGUGAAACAGUACGUGAAAUUGUUGAAAGGGAAACGCUUGAAGUCAGUCGCGUCGACCGAGACUCAGCCUUGCCUUGGCUUGGUGUACUUCUCGGCCCGACGGGUCAGCAUCAAUUUUGCCCCUCGGAUAAUGGCAGGGGAAAGGUGGCACCUUUACGGGUGUGUUAUAGUCUCCUGUCGAAUGCGAGGGGUGGGAUUGAGGAACUCAGCGCGCACCUCAGUGUCGGGGCUUCGGCCCACGUCACGCGCUUAGGAUGCUGGCGUAAUGGCUUUAAACGACC
rnacentral:rRNA from 1 species